UUGAAAGGGAAAAUGGGCGGUUAUGUUUUGGUACGGAUGGUUGAUUUUAAUGGUGAUCGGUUAUUUUUAAAAAUAGUAUUAAGUACGCUUGGGUGAAUGGGUUUAUUCAAGCUUAAGUUUUCAGUGAAUGUGCCAUUUGAAGGCUCUGAUUUGUUAAUCAUUUCACGGACUUAAAAGUCAUCAUGAAAACAGAAAACAGAUUCAAAAAAGAUAAACGUGUGAGGCAGUUGAUCAGAUGGUACCUACCAGUCCAUACAUCAUUUCAUACAUGACAGCACCAAGGCACCACCAGUCUACUGUUUUAUCAUACGGCUGCUUCCUCAACACUUCAGGGGCCAGGGUGUUAACCUGUAAAGAUUGAUGCCAAUAAAACAAUGGGGAGAAACAUGGAGAUCAAAACUUGACAGGAUAUGGUACAGCAUGUACACAAAGUGACACCCUGACCAGGAGCAAAUGAGGGAUGUGCUUAUCAACCACAAACAGAUGUUUGGAAGGAAUUUUAUUCGAUAUUGAUUAGAAAAUGAGCAUAUUUUAUGUCAUUAUCAAUGCUAAUAAAUGUUGUUAGAUUAGAAUGUCAAAAAAAGUACAUAUAUGACACAUAAUUAAAAUUUUUAAGGUUCCGUAAUCAUGUUGAUUUUAUGGAAAUAUGAGAAUUAAUGAGUGCAUGUUUAUGAAGUUUUGUGCUUGAUCCUUAUCAAAGGUGCAUGCCAACAAGUUUAAUUACAUGAUAUUUUUCUAAUUAAUUAUUUAUUUGAUUGGAAUUAUUUUACUUCAUUACUCUGUUGAUUAAUUGUGAAAUUGACAUUGAAAAUAAUAAUGUAAAUACAAUAAAUGCAAAUCUAU